rnacentral:rRNA from 1 species
AACGAACGCUGGCGGCAUGCCUAACACAUGCAAGUCGAACGAGACCUUCGGGUCUAGUGGCGCACGGGUGCGUAACGCGUGGGAACCUGCCCUUAGGUUCGGAAUAACUCCCCGAAAGGGGUGCUAAUACCGGAUAAUGUCUUCGGACCAAAGAUUUAUCGCCUUUGGAUGGGCCCGCGUUGGAUUAGCUAGUUGGUAGGGUAAAAGCCUACCAAGGCGACGAUCCAUAGCUGGUCUGAGAGGAUGAUCAACCACACUGGGACUGAGACACGGCCCAGACUCCUACGGGAGGCAGCAGUGGGGAAUAUUGGACAAUGGGCGAAAGCCUGAUCCAGCAAUGCCGCGUGAGUGAUGAAGGCCUUAGGGUUGUAAAGCCCUUUUACCCGGGAUGAUAAUGACAGUACCGGGAGAAUAAGCUCCGGCUAACUCCGUG